GUAGUCUCGCACAGAUGCAUAUCAAUAAGCGGAGGAAAAGAAACUAACAAGGAUUCCCUUAGUAACGGCGAGUGAAGCGGGAAGAGCUCAAAUUUGAAAUCUUCAAGGUUUUACCUUGACGAAUUGUAGUUUAAAGAAGUGUUUUCUGUUGAAGUUUUGGUAAAAGUUCUUUGGAAUAGGACAUCAUAGAGGGUGAGAAUCCCGUAUUUGACCAUUGUUUUCAGCUGUGUGAUACACUUUCAAAGAGUCGGAUUGUUUGGGAAUGCAGUCCAAAAUGGGUGGUAAAUUUCAUCUAAAGCUAAAUAUUGGCGAGAGACCGAUAGCGAACAAGUACCGUGAGGGAAAGAUGAAAAGAACUUUGAAAAGAGAGUUAAACAGUACGUGAAAUUGUCAAAAGGGAAGCGUUUGACACCAGUGUUGUUUUCUCGAAAAUCAAUUAAAAAGAGUUUGAUUUUGUUGUGUAUUGACCUUAACAGCUUGCAUUUCAAUUUUCUUGCUUUUUUUAAUGCACUUUUCGUUUAACAAGUCAACAUCAGUUUCUUUUGUUGUAAAAAGGUCAUUGGAAAGGUGGCUUUCUUUUCGGAGAAAGUGUUUAUAGCCUUUGACUCCUGCAAUCGGAGAGACUGAGGUCUGCAGCGUAGAUCCUUCGGGGUUAGAUACAUUUGUGCUAAGUUAUAGCAUUUUUAUAGACAACUUGUUGACUAUGAUUUAGUCUUGUAGCUUACUCGCUUAUGCUAUUUUACCUACGCUCAGGAUGUUGAGCGCAUGUCUCUCUCU
rnacentral:rRNA from 1 species